AUGAAAGUGUGGUCACUCCUUCUGCGUCUCCCUGGUUGGACAGACUUGACCUCAAACCCAGGUCAGAGACCAGUCUUCUGGAUCCAGGAACAAGAGAUGUUUCCUAGGGACCCAGACCAGAACCCGUCUACCUUGCAGUUAGAACCCAGAAACUUGGUCUACUGGAAAAAAACAACUGUGCCAGAAUGCCCUGAAAUCCAGUGGAAAGAAGCCUAGCAAGGCCUCCUUACUAACUCCUCCACCAAAAAGAUAAAGGGAGUGACAGCCCCAACCCACAAGCUGACAGCUCAACCUACUACUAGUCAUUUCAAAUUCCACCUGACCCAGAAAAAAAAGCAGACAACAUGAGGAGUAGACCACUUCCCCAAGAUGCUGGGCAUGGGCUGAGUCUCUCUGGUCCAAGGAUCAGCAGCUCAUAGAACUCCCUGACUACGCCUUUGGUCAGCAUUGAUAGAACUCAUCUUGACCAAAAGGGGAAGAAUGUUAAAAGAAGUUAUGAGAAGGGCCUUCUUUGACCUCACUGACCUCAUGAUUGGAACAGGUCUUGUGAUAUCUCUGGAAAUUUACUGUACCUGGAUGGAUCUGAUCAGAUCCACAUCUGAAGUUCCUUGAUUUGAUCAGAUGUUGAUCAUGCCUUCCUUUUGCUGUCCCUCCCAAGCAUUCUUCCCUGUUGAAAUAUAUUUAAACUCUACCCCUCUACUCCCUUCUGCCCCACUUCCAGCACUCCUGCAUUCUGGUAUUGUGUACUGACCUUGAAUUGAAAUUCCUUUGACUCAGUUAAAGACUCUUAUUGUUGCUACUUUGGUAAUCCACUUUAUUUCAGAUUGAUACUAGCCAAGGGUCAAACUAUGAUGCUGGGAAAAAAAUGUGCAAUCCUAUAGUUCACAUGAACUGGUGACUGAACCCAUGAGUCCCAGGAUGAGCCAAAAAUUGGGACCCUGAUCAUUAAAUUCAACUUCUAGAUGGAAGAUGUCUGAACUUGGAUGGUACUUCUGUCAAAUAUUUUGCAACCACUGAAGCCUACUGCUCCAAAUAUGAAAAUGCAUACUCUUCAAGGGAAGAAAAAGAAUUUUCCUUGAAGCCUGUCUGCCAGUCAGAGGAGCAAGGCUCUACAAUCACUAGAGUCCAAAGUAAGGCUGUAUAAUAAAGGGUGAUGAGGAGGAGGGCA
rnacentral:lncRNA from 1 species